rnacentral:rRNA from 1 species
UACAGGGGGUGCAACCGUUGCUCGGAAUUAUUGGGCGUAAAGCGCGCGUAGGCGGCUACCUAAGUCGGAUGUGAAAGCCCCUGGCUUAACUGGGGAAGUGCACCCGAAACUGAGUAGCUAGAGUGCGAAAGAGGGUCGCGGAAUUCCAGGUGUAGCGGUGAAAUGCGUAGAUAUCUGGAGGAACACCGGUGGCGAAGGCGGCAUCCUGGACCAAUACUGACGCUGAGGAGCGAAAGCCAGGGGAGCAAACGGG